GGACCGGUUAGCUCAGUCAGUUGAACAUGGUGCUGAUAACACCAAGGUCGCGGUUUCGAUCCCCGUUUGGUCCC
rfam:Apaloderma vittatum contig85228, whole genome shotgun sequence.